UCUUGGUCUUAAGUCCCUGAGAUGAAAUCAAGAGUCCCAUAUUUAACUGACUGAGCCACCCAAGCCCUUUUAAACGUGGGGCUCUGCAUCUUCCACCUGCACUGGGCCUCACAGAUUAAGUAGCCAUUCAUGUCACACCACCUCGAUAACCAGUGUAGUGUCGGCACACAGCCCUGUUCCUCCAGCGCCUGAGUGCACCAUAAAUACUGGUGAGGGAUGGAAAAAAGGAAUGACUCCCUGGAUGUCCUUCCACUUUUUCACCUGGUAACAUCAUACAUUCCUCAGCAAUCCAUUUAGAUGCUGCCUCUUCCAGGAAGCCUUCCUGGAUAACUCCCACCCCAAUAAAUCUGGAUGAAGCUCCUCAUCUGAGCUUCCACAGUACCCCUUUUCCUCUCCAUCUCGCGCUUGGACUAUUUUUGUAUCUGCCCUGCUUAUCAUCUGGCGAGAACCUCAAUCACAGAGACGCAGUUGUCAGAGCUCCCAGAUUGGGGCCUUCCUGGGUGAGUGAAUAAGGAUUGAAGGAAAGUGGUUCUUUUUUAAAAUUUUUAUUUAUUUAUUUAUUUGACCUUCCCAAGGCAGAGGCUUAACCCACUGAGCCACCCAGGCGUCCCUAAGGAAAGUGGUUCUUAACCUUACUUCCCAGGCCUGAGGGCAAAAAUUCUUUUGGCAGCAGAUCUGGCCCUUAUCCUACCAAAGCUCCUGGGCUCCUUUGUAGCACCGCUAUAAUUAUUACUCAAAAUAAUAAUUAACGUUUUCUCUUUUGUACGGUGCUUUAAAGUAGGGAGAUCCUCCAGGGUGGGGAGGGGAUUUGGUUCAUGCCUGGUGUCCAGCCCCUGGCACCCGGAGGCUCAGGUGAUGUUUAUUGGAUAAACGGGUGAUGGAUGAGUGAGUACGGAGCCAGCCAGCCAGUCUGCACCCCAGCUCCUGGGGGCUGGAUUGUGAGUGUGAGUCACCUUCGCCAGGCCCCAGGAAACCCUCAGGAAUGAACAGUUAAAUUAUGAAUGAAUUGCUUAAUGAGGGGCACACACUGCCUAUUAUGUUAUUCUGCCCUACGCUCUCUCUCUGGAGCUGCAGAGCAGAUCAAAGCAUUAGCCCAUUUUACAGCUGGGACAAUCGAGGUUGCCCUAGAAGACAGACAGAGAGGCACAACCAGCAGCGGGUGCGGCAAGCCCACUCUUCCCGCCCUGUGGCCCUUGCAUGGCCCAGGUGGCAGGUCUUCCACUGGCCGGGAGAGCCUGGACAGGCAGAUGGUGAGCAGGCCACCAGGCCAAGGGAGCCAAGCAGACCUCACCUGCCAACCCAGAGAAUUCCCUGGGAAGUUCUGCCCAGCUCUGUUUCCACACAUCUGCCCAGAGCAAACGCAGCCUCGGAGGCCACAGCUGUGGGCAGUUCUCUCAGCUUUCAUCCCCCGUGUCUUGUCUCAGGAGGCUAGAGGGUUCUGGGGAUGAAGUCAGUGAGAUGCGCUGGGCGAAGAGUUGGAACCAGAACACCUGCUGUCAAAGUCAGGCUGAUUGAAGGUUCUGGAGGACUGGUCCCAGGGCACCUCAGGAGGGCUGGAAGGUGAGUGCAGCACAGGGUGGCCAGGGGCUGAGGAAGCAUGAUAAAGGAAGAGGGUCACUCAUGCGCUGGGGCUGUUUGUGAUUUCUGCAGUUGUGGUGUGUGAGUCCACGGGCGCCGUCCCAGGCCUCGGGGCUUCAACAGCACAGUUCUUCUCUCCCAGUUUGGCCAGAAACCCAAGAUCAGGUGUCAGCAAAGUUGGUUUCGCACAAGCACUAACCACUCUUAGCAAGAAGGCCAAUUCUCUGGUAUGGGAUCCAUAUAUAAUGAUCAAUUUUCUUUCUUUCUUUUUUUUUUUUUUUAAAUAAUUUUUAGUUUCAUUUUUCAAGAAAGAAUUCCAACCAAGCUUGAAAAUAACACUCUUGGGACCCCUGGGUGGCUCCGUCGGUUGGGCAUGUGCCAUCAGCUCAUGUCAGGAUCCCACGGUUCUGGGACUGAGUCCCGCAUGGGACUCCUUGCUCAGCGGGGAGCCUGCUUCCCCCUCUGCUGGCCGCGCCCCCUGCUGUGUGCACGAUCACUUUCUCUGACAAGUUGCUGUGUGAUGUGGCCUUUCCCCAGUGCCCCUUGCCCGGGGAUCCUGAGGACCUCGUGUGCCGUUUUGUGCCAUGCUACAGACGCCUGCCGAGGUUUGACGUCUCUCCUCCACGCUGGACAUCCUCAAGGAGGAGGGCCCAGGACUAGGGCGGGGGCAUCCUGAGUCGGGGGCAGUGCCCCUCGAGUUCUCUGAGACUGGAUCCCGCCCUCCUCUGGCCCCAGAAGUGGGACCAGCCACUGGAGAAAAAUCUGAUGUCCUGCGAUAACACCAGGAAAAACUGCCCGCGGUAAAUACACUGUCGUUGAAAACACAAGUCCUGCAGCAACAGGGAGUGUUUCUCAGAACCUUACAACCGCUUGGCAUUUAUGAUGAGCUUUUAUGGCUCUGAGAACAAUUUGCUGCCGGAAGAGGAAAGUGAGCAGGCUCUACAGUUUGUUCACACCAACAACCGCUCACCCCUUCUUGUUAAUGUACUCUUCCAGCAGGUUUUACUUGAAAUGGAUGAAAUAUGAGGAAGGGAGUCAGAAUAUGUGUUUCUUAUUAAACAAUAAAGUCAUUGCAUAUAUUUAAAUCAAGUUCAUUAAAAGGUUUUUGGCUUUA